rnacentral:rRNA from 1 species
ACGGAAGGCAGCAGCUAGGAAUAUUCCGCAAUGGACGAAAGCCUGACGGAGCGACGCCGCGUGGAUGAUGAAGGUCGAAAGAUUGUAAAAUCCUUUUAGGAGUGAAGAAUAAGCGGUGCAGGGAAUGGCAUCACGGUGACGGUAGCUCCUGAAUAAGCACCGGCUAAUUACGUGCCAGCAGCCGCGGUAACACGUAAGUUGCGAGCGUUGUUCGGAAUUAUUGGGCGAAAAGGGUAUGUAGGCGGUCUUGCAAGCUUGGUGUGAAAGGCAGGGGCUCAACCCAUGGACUGCAUUGGGAACUGCAUGACUUGAAUUGAUGAAAGGCAGCCAGAAUUCCAGGUGUAGGGGUGAAAUCUGUAGAUAUCUGGAAGAACACCAAUGGCGAAGGCAGGCUGCUGGCAGAUGAUUGACGCUGAGGUACGAAAGUGCGGGGAGCAAACAGGAUUAGAUACCCUGGUA